rnacentral:rRNA from 1 species
GGCUAAACAUAUUACCGAAACUGUGGAUGAACCUCUUUAGAGGUUCGUGGUAGGAGAGCGUUCUAAGGGCGGUGAAGUCAGACCGGAAGGACUGGUGGAGCGCUUAGAAGUGAGAAUGCCGGUAUGAGUAGCGAAAGAAGGGUGAGAAUCCCUUCCACCGAAUAUCUAAGGUUUCCUGAGGAAGGCUCGUCCGCUCAGGGUUAGUCGGGACCUAAGCCGAGGCCGAUAGGCGUAGGCGAUGGACAACAGGUAGAGAUUCCUGUACCAGUGCUAAUUGUUUAACCGAUGGGGUGACACAGAAGGAUAGGGAAUCGCACGAAUGGAAAUGUGCGUCCAAGCAGUGAGUGUGAGAAGUAGGCAAAUCCGCUUCUCGCGAAGCAUGAGCUGUGAUGGGGAAGGAAAUUAAGUACGGAAGUUCCUGAUUUCACGCUGUCAAGAAAAGCCUCUAGGAAGAGUAGUACUGCCCGUACCGCAAACCGACACAGGUAGAUGAGGAGAGAAUCCUAAGGUGAGCGAGAGAACUCUCGUUAAGGAACUCGGCAAAAUGACCCCGUAACUUCGGGAGAAGGGGUGCUCUAUUAGGGUGCAAGCCCGAGAGAGCCGCAGUGAAUAGGCCCAGGCGACUGUUUAGCAAAAACACAGGUCUCUGCAAAACCGUAAGGUGACGUAUAGGGGCUGACGCCUGCCCGGUGCUGGAAGGUUAAGAGGAGUGCUUAGCUUCGGCGAAGGUACGAAUUGAAGCCCCAGUAAACGGCGGCCGUAACUAUAACGGUCCUAAGGUAGCGAAAUUCCUUGUCGGGUAAGUUCCGACCCGCACGAAAGGCGCAACGAUCUGGGCACUGUCUCAACGAGAGACUCGGUGAAAUUAUAGUACCUGUGAAGAUGCAGGUUACCCGCGACAGGACGGAAAGACCCCGUGGAGCUUUACUGCAACCUGAUAUGGAAUGUUUGUACCGCUUGUACAGGAUAGGUAGGAGCCGAAGAGACGUGUGCGCUAGCAUACGAGGAGGCAAUGGUGGGAUACUACCCUGGCUGUAUGACCAUUCUAACCCGCCACGCUUAGCGCGUGGGGAGACAGUGUCAGGUGGGCAGUUUGACUGGGGCGGUCGCCUCCUAAAGAGUAACGGAGGCGCCCAAAGGUUCCCUCAGAAUGGAUGGAAAUCAUUCGCAGAGUGUAAAGGCACAAGGGAGCUUGACUGCGAGACUGACAAGUCGAGCAGGGACGAAAGUCGGGCUUAGUGAUCCGGUGGUUCCGCAUGGAAGGGCCAUCGCUCAACGGAUAAAAGCUACCCCGGGGAUAACAGGCUUAUCUCCCCCAAGAGUCCACAUCGACGGGGAGGUUUGGCACCUCGAUGUCGGCUCGUCGCAUCCUGGGGCUGUAGUCGGUCCCAAGGGUUGGGCUGUUCGCCCAUUAAAGCGGCACGCGAGCUGGGUUCAGAACGUCGUGAGACAGUUCGGUCCCUAUCCGUCGCGGGCGCAGGAAAUUUGAGAGGAGCUGUCCUUAGUACGAGAGGACCGGGAUGGACACACCGCUGGUGUACCAGUUGUUCCGCCAGGAGCAUCGCUGGGUAGCUAUGUGUGGCAGGGAUAAACGCUGAAAGCAUCUAAGCGUGAAGCCCCCCUCAAGAUGAGAUUUCCCAUUUCUUCGGAAAGUAAGAUCCCUGAAAGAUGAUCAGGUAGAUAGGUUUGGAGUGGAAGUGUAGCGAUACAUGGAGCGGACAAAUACUAAUCGAUCGAGGACUUAACCAAAAA